AAUCAACGCUGGCGGCGUGCCUAACACAUGCAAGUCGAACGCGAAAGCCCUUUCGGGGGUAAGUAGAGUGGCGUCCGGGUGAGUAACACGUAGGUAAUCUGCCUUCGGGUGGGGAAUAACCAGUCGAAAGAUUGGCUAAUACCGCAUAAUGCAGCGGCACCUAAUGGUGAUUAGUUGUUAAAGCGGGGGAUCGUAAGACCUCGCGCCUGAAGAGGAGCCUGCGGCAGAUUAGCUAGNGGUGAGGUAAUGGCUCACCAAGGCUUCGAUCUGUAGCUGGUCUGAGAGGACGGCCAGCCACACUGGCACUGACACACGGGCCAGACUCCUACGGGAGGCAGCAGUGGGGGAAUUUUGGGCAAUGGGCGAAAGCCUGACCCAGCAACGCCGCGUGAGGGAGGAAAUCCUUCGGGAUGUAAACCUCACAAGCAAGGGAAGAGAGCUCAGGGCCGAAUAAGCUUUGAGUCCGACGGUACCUUGCGUAAGCCACGGCUAACUACGUGCCAGC
rnacentral:rRNA from 1 species